UGGUGCGAUCAUACCAGCACUAAUGCACCGGAUCCCAUCAAACUCCGCAGCUAACCGUGCUUGGGCGAGAGUAGUACUAGGAUGGGUGACCUCCUGGGAAGUCCUCGUGUUGCACCCC